GAUGAACGCUGGCGGCGUGCCUAAUACAUGCAAGUCGAGCGAACAGACGAGGAGCUUGCUCCUCUGACGUUAGCGGCGGACGGGUGAGUAACACGUGGAUAACCUACCUAUAAGACUGGGAUAACUUCGGGAAACCGGAGCUAAUACCGGAUAAUAUAUUGAACCGCAUGGUUCAAUAGUGAAAGACGGUUUUGCUGUCACUUAUAGAUGGAUCCGCGCCGCAUUAGCUAGUUGGUAAGGUAACGGCUUACCAAGGCGACGAUGCGUAGCCGACCUGAGAGGGUGAUCGGCCACACUGGAACUGAGACACGGUCCAGACUCCUACGGGGGGCAGCAGUAGGGAAUCUUCCGCAAUGGGCGAAAGCCUGACGGAGCAACGCCGCGUGAGUGAUGAAGGUCUUCGGAUCGUAAAACUCUGUUAUUAGGGAAGUACAAAUGUGUAAGUAACUAUGCACGUCUUGACGGUACCUAAUCAGAAAGCCACGGCUAACUACGUG
rnacentral:rRNA from 1 species